UACGUAGGGCGCAAGCGUUGUCCGGAAUUAUUGGGCGUAAAGAGCUCGUAGGUGGCUUGUCACGUCGGGUGUGAAAGCUUGGGGCUUAACUCCAGGUCUGCAUUCGAUACGGGCUGGCUAGAGGUAGGUAGGGGAGAACGGAAUUCCUGGUGUAGCGGUGAAAUGCGCAGAUAUCAGGAGGAACACCGGUGGCGAAGGCGGCACUCUGGGCCGGUACUGACGCUGAGGAGCGAAAGCGUGGGGAGCGAACAGG
rnacentral:rRNA from 1 species